ACUCCUACGGGAGGCAGCAGUGGGGAAUAUUGCACAAUGGGCGCAAGCCUGAUGCAGCCAUGCCGCGUGUGUGAAGAAGGCCUUCGGGUUGUAAAGCACUUUCAGUCGUGAGGAAGGUGGUAGUGUUAAUAGCACUAUCAUUUGACGUUAGCGACAGAAGAAGCACCGGCUAACUCCGUGCCAGCAGCCGCGGUAAUACGGAGGGUGCGAGCGUUAAUCGGAAUUACUGGGCGUAAAGCGCAUGCAGGUGGUUUGUUAAGUCAGAUGUGAAAGCCCGGGGCUCAACCUCGGAAUAGCAUUUGAAACUGGCAGACUAGAGUACUGUAGAGGGGGUAGAAUUUCAGGUGUAGCGGUGAAAUGCGUAGAGAUCUGAAGGAUACCGGUGGCGAAGGCGGCCCCCUGGACAGAUACUGACACUCAGAUGCGAAAGCGUGGGGAGCAAACA
rnacentral:rRNA from 1 species